UACGUAGGGGGCAAGCGUUGUCCGGAUUUAUUGGGCGUAAAGAGCGUGUAGGCGGCUAGGUAGGUCCGUUGUGAAAACUCGAGGCUCAACCUCGAGACGUCGAUGGAAACCAUCUAGCUAGAGUCCGGAAGAGGAGAGUGGAAUUCCUGGUGUAGCGGUGAAAUGCGCAGAUAUCGGGAGGAACACCAAUGGCGAAGGCAGCUCGCUGGGACGGUACUGACGCUGAGGCGCGAAAGCGUGGGGAGCAAACAGG
rnacentral:rRNA from 1 species